rnacentral:lncRNA from 1 species
UAUAUUCAAUCAUUAAUUCAUUAAACGCAUCAUAAAGUUCAUCAAAUGUAAAAUCAAAAUGCGUAUCGGAAGUUACCUACGUUUCGUUGGCCAUGAAGCAGAAAUUGGCCUUCUCUUCUUGUUCUUCAUCCGAUGAUGAAGAUGAUGCGUCGGAGUCCGAUAGGGUGGUGACAAGGGCUUUCUUCUUCUUCUUGUACUUGCUGCCCUUCUUUAGUAAGGGUCACUUAGCUCUGAUGUGUCCCGGCUUUUUGCACUCAUAGCACCCAAUCCCCUCAUUUUCUCUUUCCUUACCUUUGUCCUUGCGGUAGGAAUUUGAGAGGCCUCUCCUUUGAUGAUAGGACUUCUUGUGGUUGAUAAAUUUCUUGAACUUGCGCACAAGAAGUGCCUCACCACCAUCUUCCUCAUCUUCUUCUUCUUCACUACUGCUACUGCAAGAUAAAUCUUUGUUAGAUGAAGUAGAUUUUAAAGCUAUUACCUUUUUCUUAUGGGAGGACUCUUCCUCGUUGUGUUGUUUCAUGGUGAGCUCGUGCGUCAUAAGGGAUCCAAGAAGCUCCUCAUGUGGUAGCUUGUUCAAGUCCUUGGCUUCUUGGAUUGCCGUCACUUUAGCUUCCCACGACCUUG